rnacentral:rRNA from 2 species
AGAGUUUGAUCAUGGCUCAGGACGAACGCUGGCGGCAUGCCUAAUACAUGCAAGUCGAACGAGCUUCCGUUGAAUGACGUGCUUGCACUGAUUUUAACAAUGAAGCGAGUGGCGAACUGGUGAGUAACACGUGGGAAAUCUGCCCAGAAGCAGGGGAUAACACUUGGAAACAGGUGCUAAUACCGUAUAACAACAAAAUCCGCAUGGAUUUUGUUUGAAAGGUGGCUUCGGCUAUCACUUCUGGAUGAUCCCGCGGCGUAUUAGUUAGUUGGUGAGGUAAAGGCCCACCAAGACGAUGAUACGUAGCCGACCUGAGAGGGUAAUCGGCCACAUUGGGACUGAGACACGGCCCAAACUCCUACGGGAGGCAGCAGUAGGGAAUCUUCCACAAUGGACGAAAGUCUGAUGGAGCAAUGCCGCGUGAGUGAAGAAGGGUUUCGGCUCGUAAAACUCUGUUGUUAAAGAAGAACACCUUUGAGAGUAACUGUUCAAGGGUUGACGGUAUUUAACCAGAAAGCCACGGCUAACUACGUGCCAGCAGCCGCGGUAAUACGUAGGUGGCAAGCGUUGUCCGGAUUUAUUGGGCGUAAAGCGAGCGCAGGCGGUUUUUUAAGUCUGAUGUGAAAGCCUUCGGCUUAACCGGAGAAGUGCAUCGGAAACUGGGAGACUUGAGUGCAGAAGAGGACAGUGGAACUCCAUGUGUAGCGGUGGAAUGCGUAGAUAUAUGGAAGAACACCAGUGGCGAAGGCGGCUGUCUAGUCUGUAACUGACGCUGAGGCUCGAAAGCAUGGGUAGCGAACAGGAUUAGAUACCCUGGUAGUCCAUGCCGUAAACGAUGAGUGCUAAGUGUUGGAGGGUUUCCGCCCUUCAGUGCUGCAGCUAACGCAUUAAGCACUCCGCCUGGGGAGUACGACCGCAAGGUUGAAACUCAAAGGAAUUGACGGGGGCCCGCACAAG